rnacentral:rRNA from 1 species
CAGCCGCCGCGGGAAUACAGAGGAUGCAAGCGUUAUCCGGAAUGAUUGGGCGUAAAGCGUCUGUAGGUGGCUUUUCAAGUCCGCCGUCAAAUCCCAGGGCUCAACCCUGGACAGGCGGUGGAAACUACCAAGCUGGAGUACGGUAGGGGCAGAGGGAAUUUCCAGUGGAGCGGUGAAAUGCGUUGAGACCGGAAAGAACACCAACGGCGAAAGCACUAUGCUGGGCCGACACUGACACUGAGAGACGAAAGCUAGGGGAGCAAAUGGGAUUAGAUACCCCUGUAGUCCCUGUCUCUUAUAC